rnacentral:rRNA from 1 species
UGGGGAAUAUUGCACAAUGGGCGGAAGCCUGAUGCAGCAACGCCGCGUGAGGGAUGACGGCCUUCGGGUUGUAAACCUCUUUUAGCAGGGAAGCGGUACCUGCAGAAAAAGCGCCGGCUAACUACGUGCCAGCAGCCGCGGUAAUACGUAGGGCGCAAGCGUUAUCCGGAAUUAUUGGGCGUAAAGAGCUCGUAGGCGGUUUGUCGCGUCUGCUGUGAAUCUGGGGGCUCAACCCCCAGCCUGCAGUGGGUACGGGCAGACUAGAGUGCGGUAGGGGAGAUUGGAAUUCCUGGUGUAGCGGUGGAAUGCGCAGAUAUCAGGAGGAACACCGAUGGCGAAGGCAGAUCUCUGGGCCGAACUGACGCUGAGGAGCGAAAGGGUGGGAGCAAACAGGAUUAGAUACCCGAGUAGU